rnacentral:rRNA from 1 species
UGGGGAAUAUUGGACAAUGGGCGGAAGCCUGAUCCAGCAAUUCCGCGUGGGUGAAGAAGGUCUUCGGAUUGUAAAGCCCUUUCGGCGGGGACGAUGAUGACGGUACCCGCAGAAGAAGCCCCGGCUAACUUCGUGCCAGCAGCCGCGGUAAUACGAAGGGGGCUAGCGUUGCUCGGAAUUACUGGGCGUAAAGGGCGCGUAGGCGGCUGUGUUAGUCAGGCGUGAAAUUCCUGGGCUCAACCUGGGGACUGCGCUUGAUACGGCAUAGCUUGAGGAUGGAAGAGGCUCGCGGAAUUCCCAGUGUAGAGGUGAAAUUCGUAGAUAUUGGGAAGAACACCGGUGGCGAAGGCGGCGAGCUGGUCCAUUACUGACGCUGAGGCGCGACAGCGUGGGGAGCAAACAG